AAUUCUCGACCCCUCGCGCACGCGCACGCGCACGCAGGGGCGCCGCGGAGGCUGGGCUGGCGCAUGCGCGACCCCCCCCAUCAUCCCGGGUCCCCGCCCCCCCGGCCUCGCUUGGGGCUCCGAUGCCCGCGGGUCUGUCCAGCCCCUCCCUCCCGCUCGUCCCGGAGGUCCAGCUCCAGCCUUCGGGUCCUGUCGGGUCAGGGACGCGUAGGCUCCACACCCAACAUGGAGAUUGAACUCAUGACCCUGAGAUCAAUAGUUGCAUGCUCUACUGACCAAGCCAAUCAGGUGCCUCUCCAUUUUAUUUUACUUAUUUUAUUUUUUAAUGUAAUUGAAGUACUCUUAAGAAAGCUGAUAAUCACAUUAAAAUUAUUUAAAAAUUCUAUUUUUUCUGUUACUUUGUAGUUUAAACUUUUUCAUUAAAAUUUUAUCCAUUUUUUAAAAAAAGAUUCUGUUUAUUUACUUGAAAGAGAGAGAGAGAAUGAGUGGUGGGGAGGAGCAGAGAGAGAGAGAGAGAGAGAAAGAGAAAGAAAGAAGCAGACUCCCUGCUGAGCAGGAAGCCUGCCCCAAUGAGGGGCUGGAUCGCAGGACCUUGAGGUCAUGACCUGAACUGAAGGCAGACGCUUAACCAACUGAGCCACCCAGGUGCCCCAAAUUUUAUCCUUUUCUGCUUAUUUUUUAAAUUAGAUGGACAAUAUAUGAUUAUAUUCUAGUCACUUUCUUUUUUGUUUAUUAAUUAAUUAAUUUAUUUCUAAUCACUUUCUUAGAAGUAAUAAUGGUUAUCUGAUUAAGAUUUGUCCUUUCAAAAUCCUUUAAUGCAUUUACAUUCAUAUACUCGUGUGGACAUAUACACACAUAUUUAACAUAGUGUCAUUCUAUAUGUGUGAUUUAUAACCUGUUCUUUCAUUGAACAAUAGUUAAGUAUUUCCUUAUUAGUACCGAUAGAUUGCCUUUUCUAGCUGCCGCACGAUAGUCACUUGUAUGAAUGCACUGUAAGAUGUGGUUUAACUCUUUCAUUUUUAAAUCUUUAAUCCAUCUGAAUUUCAUGGGUAUACAUAUGUAACUGAAGUGAAUGAGGGAUAUAAUUUAAUUUUUUCCCCAAUAAAUUUCCAGCUAUCCUAAUACCA
rnacentral:lncRNA from 12 species